AAAACAUCUGGUACCAUUUUAUGCACAGACCCAUGUCUGAGAGCAGGCGAUUCCAGCGGUCUCUCCAGCGGCACAGCGCAUACCCAAACCUCCCCAGGGUGACAUCAUCCCAUAUAUGGACUCUCCAGCCCAGCCCUCCCCCUUUUCCUGGUCCUAAAUUCAUUGCCAGUUCCCCAGUCUGCAGCAAAUGUGCCACGUCAAGACUGGAAAUCACAGCCCUUGAGUCUCAGUCGGGGCAGCAGAAUUCAGGGGGGGAAGCCGAAGGCAACCCCUGGUGCAGGAAGGGAGGCUUUUCCCCAAGACCGGGAGAGGAUUUUUAAGUGCAUAGUUGGAAGCUUCUGGAGAUCCUGCUCCGUCGCCCCAGUGUUCAGACUACCUGUUCAGGACAAUGCCGUUGUACAGUAGUCUGCACAUUGGUUAGACUGGGCAAGGGAGAGCAACGCCAUGGACAGCUGGGGACAAAAGUGGCUGUUUCCAAGGAGGAAGACAUUUGUUUGCUCCUUUUUCGAAUCUCAUAUCCAGUGUUUUUCUUCACAGGUUUUGCACAGUAGGGGCCAGGAAGCCCUCGGGGACACUGCCGAGAAAGGACUGCUCGAGGGAAGACCUGUGGGUAAGGCCUUCUUGACUGCUCACCUGGGCUGUGACCAGGAGAGCCCAGGUGGGGAGCCAACAAUUUGCUUUCACAUGGGAGAGAAACCGAGGCGGGAUUGUGACAGACAGGUCUGCGUUUAGUUUUAAAACAGCAACGAUGUGUGGUACACUGCGAUUUACUAGAUGUUGUUCAAUAUUGGAAGAGUUUAAGUAUUUUCUUAAAUUUAAAGGUUUUCCCACUUCAAAAUGAAAUAUGAAAAGACUCCAAACACUUAAGAAUAGUUUAAUGAGGCUGGUUUUGAAUUGUUGAAAUUGAUAAUCCAGAGACUUAAAACGUAUUUGAAUGAGAGCUGAAGUAUAACAUUUAGCAUCCCAGGACUGAAUCCAUUUUACCCCAAAGUAAAGAAUACUUGCUAUUUUUAAAAUGCUAUCUGAAUAGUGCUUUUCUUAAAUUUUAUAUAAUAUAAAUAUCAGGAAUAAUAUUAUCUAACAAUAAAAGGAGAGGCUGCCAAGAAUUUUUGCCUACCAGACAAUGCAGAUAGGACUGGUCCAGAAAAGAGCACCAACCCAGAACUUAUUGAGUCAGUAACCAAAUAAAUUGGAGAAUAAAAACCUCUAUAUUCAGAUAUUCCAAUAUAUAUCUCUGUAUUACAUUUUUUAAAAAUCUAAGAAUGGUUGAUAACUGCUGGUCAGCUGAGCCCUCCUGGCUAUAUUUUACAGUGCUUCUAUUUCUCUGAGCACUUAAAAUGAUAAGGUACUUUGUCUAGAAACCCACUGAUAAAAAAGGAAUUUGUAAACGAAAGCAAAGUUUUCUUUGGUCAGUUUCCAGCUGUCCUGGGGGUGAAGGAGGGUGGGAGAGGGGGAGGAAGGUGGGAGGGAGGAAAACCCUCAAGCUGAAUGUAAUCCCAAUAGAGAGAAUAAUGGAGAAAGUCUGGAUUGCAAUACGUGCAAUACGAUCCACGCUGAACUUUAGAGAUGGGUCCCUUAAAGAACGUUCUGGAAAAAACGUUACUGCCUUAACCCCUAUUUAUAUCUAUCCCCAAACAAUUCCAUAUAAUGAAAACAUCUGUUCUUUAGGCUUUUGUGUGAAUGUACCCUCUUUUGUCCUCCUUUAAAUUCUGUCAUUUUAUAGUGAUUCCUUAACAAAUCCUUUUCCAAAUCAUACAUUUUGCAACAAUUCAAACAUUGUCACAAGUUCUCUGGCAAAACAUUUGAUUACCAAAGGUUCCCCCUAGUUAUAUUUUGUUGAAAGAAUUUAUUUUAAAAGUUACCACUUUGAUCAUUCCAAAACUGGUAGAAAAGUUUUCUCUUUUAUUCAUGGUUUUUAGCUAAAAUAUAAAAAGCAAGGAUUUAUUACAGCUAUUUCUUCCAUUUAAAUGAUUCAGUAAUGUCAUCCUUUUUUUUUUUUUUUUUUCCUAUUGUAUCUUGGAGGCUUCCAUAUUAUUUCUAACAGAACAAGUAAGAUUUUUUAAAUCUGCAGGUUUUUUGUUUUUGUUUUUGUUUUUAACAUAGGAAAACAACAAAAAAAAUCUAUUAGGUAGCUUUAAAGGAGUUUAUUUUUUCAAGAAACACACUUUUACUACUCGAUAUAGUUACCAAAGAAGAUAAAGUACUUUGGCAAUAUUUAAGAAUUUUCAAAUUUGAGGGUUUUUUGUCUUGUAUUUUUACUCCAUAGAAUAAUUGAAUUUCCUAACUUGCUUUCAUUUCACGUAUAUUUAAUUUAAAUGUCUUUUUUCAUAUUAAGUAGCCUUUUUGCUUUAAAGAAACAAAUCACCACUGGUUCCUCACCUAUUUUUUCCCUCAGGGUGACUUUUAGUCUGGAAGACAGAGGAGACCCGAUGGUGUCCUUGGCCUAAGCACAGAAGCAGAAACAUUAUUAAUUUGCAAAAAGCAUAGACAAGGAACCCCUGAAUGUGCUCGGUGGAGUUCGGGCAGCCUAUUUUUGAUGCAAGCUUUUAACAAACGGGAAGGAAUAGUAUGUAUUUUUAAAUUGUAUGGAUUAAAUUAAAAAUCCAAAGUAAAAGCUCACUGUAUAAACCACUGCCAACUAAAGGAAGGAUAGUAGUUUAUGCGCUGAUAUAUAUACCAACAUGUAUAAGCAUACGUAUGGUAAAAUAACCUUAUCUAUUUCCAGGGCAACUAGGAUAAUGUUUAACUUUAUUUUGAUAUUACUUUGUAAGGAAAUAUACAAAUAUUUUAGGAAUCAAGGGAUCUAUUCCAGAGGAAACUAACCAACAAUGAACAUCCUCUACUAAAACUACCCCUGGAAAUAAGGGUUGCAUGCAUCAUUCCUUUAAUUGAGCAGAGUUAACUGGAUCAAAUUAUUUAUGGGAGAGAGAGGGAAAGCUAUACAGAAUUACAGUAAUUUUAAAUUUCCACCAAUAUGCUCUUUGUUAGUGAAUCACUCCAUAAAUAUUUUCUGUUGCACUGAAGGCAGCAACAGUAACAAAAUAGUUCCUUAAGGUAUUUGUUUUUGCAUACUCUGGCCUUGUAAUUAUCUAAGUAGCAGCCAAGUUUAGUGAUGGUUUUGAUUCUGUCAAGAAAAAAUAAUAAUUCUUCUACUCAGAAGUGAUGACCAGAAACAGAAUCUGAUAUUUAUUUUUUGAAAUUAAAUAAAUAGAAAGUUGCACUUACCAACUUUUUGUUAAAACUGUACCAUAUCUAAUCAUUGCAUAAAAAUUCAGAUGUGUAGAAUAGUGUCAUUUUUUCAGUCUCUAAAAUCUAAUUUGUUCUCCAUAAACUUUCUCUUCUCUAUUUUUGCAGAAUUUUACAAUUAAAGGGAAAUAACAAACUAUUUGCUUCCUUAAAAUUCUUUGGAAAAAAUUCCCUAAGUACACACUCCUUGGACAAUAAGGUUUCGUUUUGUUCUUUAAGAAAUUCUGUUUAUUGGAAUUUUGACUAUCUAGAUAUUUUAUUUUUUAAAGAGCAGAGGAAUUUGUUAAAUAUCUCUAAGGAUGUGAAUUGAUCAUUUAUAUUAAAAUAACCAGUAGAAUUAUUCUCAAGUCACCAGAAUUAAAUUUCCUAACUGUAUGUUUAUCACUAUUAACUCUUUCUUAUAUGAAUUUUAAGGAAAUUUUUUAAAGGGUCUGAUUUUCCUUUUUGGAUAUGAAAUCAAGUUUCCUUUUCCAUGCUUAAGGUACUAUUUUGUAACAGCACUGCCCUAACAUGUCCAAAACACACUGUGAGCAUCACUAUGAACAACAACCUUUUAGAUUAUAUCCCCUUGAUUCAUGGCACAGCCCUGUAAUUAAUUAAGAGGAGCAGAACUUAAGCUCACAAUUGCUUUUUAUUUGGUUUUCACAUCCAUACUCUAAAACUUUGCAUUAAAAAGAACAUGAGAAAUUUAAAUAAAUUUGUUGCUUAAUAAAAUAUUGAUGAAAAUACAUUCCCUUGUGAAAAUCCCACUGUCAAAGCAUCAGAUACCAAAGUGCGCUGGUUGAACUGUCAAAUACUUUAGGGUCAUUAAUUAUUAUGAAUAUGGCUUCCAUUUCCAUGUAAAUGACAAGCUUCUUUUUCAUGGGCAAGGUUAUGGUACUUAUCCAUUACCAGAAACAUGUAUAAACACAGUCUUUAUCUUUAACCUCAGUUUUAAAAUAUGCAGAGUUUUCGUGAAGAGGAAAAACAUCUGGUUCAAUUACUCUGAACUCUGACUGCAUGUGGGCCAGUAGUAAUAUGAAUUGGAUUUAAGAAUAAACCGUGUGUUUAGUCUUUUUUGUUGUUGUUUUUUUCCUGAAAAUGUCUGUGAGUUUUCUGUUAUGUCAAUUAUCCAUGUUAGCACAUUUGGAACAAAUGUAUCAGUGUACUUUCUGAAUAAAGUCAAAAGUCUAACUUGUUUUUAGCUCCAUAAUGUUUUAAUGUUUAAUUCUAUUGUGUGUUUUUCUCCCUUUCCCCUGACCUUCCAAAAUCACCAAAUCUGGAAACAGACUGAUUGUAUCUGCCCAUGAGCAAAGGAAACCCGAAGGAACCAAGGGCCUGGCUGGACGGAGUUGUCAUGUGUCUGCCUGUCUACACUUGCUGUGCAGAACAUCCGCUCACCUGUACAGCAGGCACAGACAGGCAGUCACAUGACAACCCAGCCUGAAUGACAACCAGCCAUUGAAAGAAAGCAGCCCUCACACCAUAGCAUCUACACCAAGAGCUACAACCAAAAUGAGGGACGCGGGGGCCUGGAGUUUUAAUUUGUUGGUUUCUUAACUCGUAUGUAUUAUUAUUAUUAUUAUUCAAAUAUUGAAACCCACCAAAAGUAAAGUGAGUGGUGCUUAUGAAAUAUAAUAAAACCCAUUUCUGAAAAUA